rnacentral:tRNA from 2 species
ACAUCCAUGGCUGAAUGGUUAAAGCGCCCAACUCAUAAUUGGCGAGUUCAUAGGUUCAAUUCCUACCGGAUGCA